GAUUCUGGCUCAGAACGAACGCUGGCGGCAGGCCUCAAACAUGCAAGUCUAGGGGGCGUAGCAAUACGUCACCGGCGGACGGGUGCGUAACACGUGGGAAUAUACCUUUUGGUUCGGAACAACGCAGGGAAACUUGCGCUAAUACCGAAUGUGUCCUUACGGAGAAAGAUUUAUCGCCAAAGGAUUAGCCCGCGUUCGAUUAGCUAGUUGGUGAGGUAAUGGCUCACCAAGGCAACGAUCGAUAGCUGUUCUGAGAGGAAGAUCAGCCACACUGGGACUGAGACACGGCCCAGACUCCUACGGGAGGCAGCAGUUGGGAAUCUUGGACAAUGGGGGAAACCCUGAUCCCAGCCAUGCCGCGUGAGUGAUGAAGGCCUUCGGGUUGUAAAGCUCUUUUACCCGGGAAGAUAAUGACUGUACCGGGAGAAUAAGCUCCGGCUAACUUCGUGCCAGCCGCUGC
rnacentral:rRNA from 1 species